ACUCAAAGGAAUAGACGGGGGCCCGCACAAGCAGCGGAGCAUGUGGUUUAAUUCGACGCAACGCGAAGAACCUUACCUGGGCUUGACAUGUUCCUGACCGCCGUGGAAACACGGUUUCCCUUCGGGGCAGGAUCACAGGUGGUGCAUGGCUGUCGUCAGCUCGUGUCGUGAGAUGUUGGGUUAAGUCCCGCAACGAGCGCAACCCCCGUCGCAUGUUGCCAGCAUUUAGUUGGGGACUCAUGCGAGACUGCCGGUGACAAACCGGAGGAAGGUGGGGAUGACGUCAAGUCAUCAUGCCCCUUAUGUCCAGGGCUACACACGUGCUACAUUGGCGCAUACAAUGGGUUGCGAUACCGCGAGGUGGAGCGAAUCCCUUAAAGUGCGUCUCGGUUCGGAUUGCAGGCUGAAACUCGCCUGCAUGAAGGCGGAGUUGCUAGUAAUCGUGGAUCAGCAUUGCCACGGUGAAUACGUUCCCGGGCCUUGUACACACCGCCCGU
rnacentral:rRNA from 1 species